GUGUUGUACAAAAGGAGAGAAGGUUAGCACUCCCCUUGACAAGGAUGGAAAAGGCUCUCGGGCCUGACAACACACAUACGGUUAAGGCAAUGCCACCUACUUCAUGGCAUCCAACCACUGUUUUUU
ensembl:snRNA